rnacentral:rRNA from 1 species
AUUGAACGCUGGCGGCAGGCCUCACACAUGCAAGUCGCACGAGUGGCGGACGGGUGAGUAAUGUCUGGGAAACUGCCUGAUGGAGGGGGAUAACUACUGGAAACGGUAGCUAAUACCGCAUACAAUCAGAUGGGCCCAGAGGGGAGUAGCUAGUAGGUGGGGUAAAGGCUCACCUAGGCGACGAUCCCUAGCUGGUUUGAGAGGAUGACCAGACACACUGGAACUGAGACACGGUCCAGACUCAUACGGGAGGCAGCAGUGGGGAAUAUUGCACACUGUGCGCAAGCCUGAUGCAGCCAUGCCGCGGUUAUGAAGAAGGCCUUCGGGUUGUAAAGUACUUUCAGCGGGGAGGCGUUACCCGCAGAAGAAGCACCGGCUAACUCCGUGCCAGCAGCCGCGGUAAUUC